rnacentral:rRNA from 1 species
UACGGGGGGGGCAAGCGUUGUUCGGAAUUACUGGGCGUAAAGGGCGCGUAGGCGGUUUGUUAAGUUGGUUGUGAAAACUCUGGGCUUAACCCAGAGCCUGCAUCCAAAACUAGCAAGCUAGAGUUCUGGAGGGGAUAGCGGAAUUCCUGGUGUAGCGGUGAAAUGCGUAGAUAUCAGGAGGAACACCGGUGGCGAAGGCGGCUAUCUGGACAGAAACUGACGCUGAGGCGCGACAGCGUGGGGAGCAAACAGG